GCUUAACACAUGCAAGUCGCACGAAGGUUUCGGCCUUAGUGGCGGACGGGUGAGUAACGCGUAGGAAUCUAUCCAUGGGUGGGGGAUAACACUGGGAAACUGGUGCUAAUACCGCAUGAUACCUGAGGGUCAAAGGCGCAAGUCGCCUGUGGAGGAGCCUGCGUUCGAUUAGCUAGUUGGUGGGGUAAAGGCCUACCAAGGCGAUGAUCGAUAGCUGGUUUGAGAGGAUGAUCAGCCACACUGGGACUGAGACACGGCCCAGACUCCUACGGGAGGCAGCAGUGGGGAAUAUUGGACAAUGGGGGCAACCCUGAUCCAGCAAUGCCGCGUGUGUGAAGAAGGUCUUCGGAUUGUAAAGCACUUUCGACGGGGACGAUGAUGACGGUACCCGUAGAAGAAGCCCCGGCUAACUUCGUGCCAGCAGCCGCGGUAAUACGAAGGGGGCUAGCGUUGCUCGGAAUGACUGGGCGUAAAGGGCGUGUAGGCGGUUUUGACAGUCAGAUGUGAAAUCCCCGGGCUUAACCUGGGAGCUGCAUUUGAGACGUUAAGACUAGAGUGUGAGAGAGGGUUGUGGAAUUCCCAGUGUAGAGGUGAAAUUCGUAGAUAUUGGGAAGAACACCGGUGGCGAAGGCGGCAACCUGGCUCAUUACUGACGCUGAGGCGCGAAAGCGUGGGGAGCAAA
rnacentral:rRNA from 1 species